GACGAACGCUGGCGGCGUGCUUAACACAUGCAAGUCGAACGGAAAGGCCCUGCUUUUGUGGGGUGCUCGAGUGGCGAACGGGUGAGUAAAACGUGAGUAACCUGCCCUUGACUUUGGGAUACCUUCAGGAAAAUGGGGCUAAUACCGGAUAGGAGCUCCUGCUGCAUGGUGUGUGUUGGAAAGUUUCGGCGGUUGGGGAUGGACUCGCGGCUUAUCAGCUUGUUGGUGGGGUAGUGGCUUACCAAGGCUUUGACGGGUAGCCGGCCUGAGAGGGUGACCGGCCACAUUGGGACUGGGAUGCGGCCCAGACUCCUACGGGAGGCAGCAGCGGGAGACAGUGCACAAUGGGCGGAAGCCUGAUGGAGCAACGCCGCGUGCGGGAUGACGGCCGUCGGGUUGUAAACCGCUUUCGCCUGUGACGAAGAGUGAGUGACGGUAAUGGGUAAAGAAGCACCGGCUAACUACGUG
rnacentral:rRNA from 1 species